rnacentral:rRNA from 1 species
CACGUAGGCGGUAUUGCAAGUCGGAUGUGAAAUCCCUCGGCUCAACCAAGGAAGUGCAUCCGAAACUGCCGUACUUGAGUACUUAAGAGGAUCGCGGAAUUCCCGGUGUAGAGGUGAAAUUCGUAGAUAUCGGGAGGAACACCAGUGGCGAAGGCGGCGAUCUGGGAAGAUACUGACGCUGAGGUGCGAAAGCGUGGGGAGCAAACA